AAAUUUGGAUCCAUUUAACCUGCUCUUUGUGAUAGUUGCCAGACUAGCUAUUUAUGUACCAUAAUUUCCUCAAAGUUUCUUUAUUUUAGUGAAAGAUUUUUUUUUCCAUCUUCUGAUCAAAGCACUCAACCUGACAGGCAUUCACAAAAUACGUGUGUCUGUGCCUUCUCCAAAACGCCUUCCUCUGCAAUGUCGGUGGGACCUUGUCAUCCUCUAGUGGCUAUUCUCAAAAGCUGCAUUCCACAUCAGUGGUCACUUGAUCUCUGGCCAACAGAUACCAUCCCCCAGUAUUCACCGCAGCAUUCUGAGCAAUGCAGCCCGGAUGACUUCCAGAUGAUCACAUUACAUUUUCAGGGAGCUGUUUUAACUUCGUUCUGAUACUUUAUAUCUCUCCACUCGCUCUUGUGUAUAUUCUUCACCUCCUUGAGAAGACAUGAACUCCUGACUGGCCAUUAACUUACAUAUGAAUGUAAGUUGGACUCCCACUUCAAUACAUUCACUAAUUCUUUCUAAGAAGUAAAUUUGUUUUACUCAUCAACUCCUUUCCAUCAUUUGCCAUCACUGUUUGGUGGUUUUCCUGAAGCUAAGUCUCUCUCUUUUGUGUGUGUUUAUCCUUGUAUCUCUAACAUACGUAACAUGCCCAAGGAAAUCUUUUUAACUCCUUUCUCAUUCUUUCCACUUCCUACAUUCAGUUGAUCAAAUAAUGCUGUUAAUUCUAUCACAAAAAUGUCUUUGAUAUUUUACUUCUCCUUAUUCCCAUCGCUACUGCAUUUGUACAAGUCCUCAUUGUGAACUGAAUUGUGUCCUCACGAAAUUCAUAUAUUGAAGUUCUAAUUACCAGUGUGACUGACUGGGAGGCAGGGCCUUUAGAGAGACAAUUACAUUUAAAUGAUGUCAUGAAACCAUAUUGGUCUAAUCCAGUAUGAUCAGUGUCCUUACAAGAGGAAGAGAUACCAGGGACAUAGAUGCACCAAGAAGAGGUCCCGUGAGGACACAGUGAGAAGACGGCCAUCUGCAAGCCACAGAAAGAGGCCUCAAGAGAGCUGAACAUGCUAUCAGAGAAACUGAACUUUGACCGUGGAAGUCCCGCAUCCAGAACUCUGAGAAAAUACACUUCUGUUGUUUAAGCUGCUCAGUCUGUGGUAUCUUGUUAUGGCUGCCCUAGCAAAUGAAUAUAGUGCUCACAAUUGAUCAUCAAGGAAAUUGAAAUAAUUCUCUAAUUUUUCCAUUCCCCCUAUCUUAUAAUUGGGAGGGAGCCUCUAACUCCCUGUCUCAGGGUUUGAUGAGGUGACUUCCCAGUGAGGAGCACAGCUAGCUGGCCGUUGUCUGGUUAGCAGACCUCCCUUCUCUGUCUCUGUCUCAGGAAGGUCUGAGGCAUUCGGAAGAAGUUGACUCUGGGAGAUGUCCAGGAGUCCCUUAGCUAGGUGUUUGGAUCAAGCUCCUCCUCCUAAGUCUUUUAUUAUUGUAUAUUUUAUUGACAUGGAAAUUAUAUUUUAAAAGGCAUUUGUGUACAAUUGUCUCAUAUGACUUAGUCCUCAAAACAAAUCUGUAAGGUAUAUCAUAAAAACCUCCAGUGCAAAGCUGAAGAAACAGACUUCGGGGUGAGUAAAUCGCUCCAUGUCUGACAGGCUCUGAGUGGCAGGAGCAGCCUAAAAUGCGGUGCUUCUGACUGAAAGCUCAUUGUUCUUUCCACUCUGUCACAUUUAAGAAUAACACAUAGAUUAUAUUCAUUUACUGUGCAAAGUGGAGUUGCAGCAAACAUGUAUUCAAUUUAUUUGAAUUAAACUGCAAAGAGAAGGCCCAAGUUAGAACUCAUUUAAAUUAAACAUAGACUCCUGUGUCAGACAUCUUACUCAGCAAGCAUAUGCCCCGGGCAAUGGAGUCAGUCAAGCUAGAAAAAGUAAUUUGCAUUUGGUGAAUCCUAUGAACAAAAAUGUUUGAUUCAUUUCAAAGGUUUUCAACCCUUUAAAAAGAAGAAAAAUGUGCUGUUCAACCUUACAUAAAUUGAUGAUGAUAGAGAAAUUGAGUAGAUUAAUUUAGGGCCAUAGAGAAUCAUUGGUUAAGGAAAAGAUGUUUUGAUAUAUAAUUGGUAGAGUUAUUCCCUCUUUGUAAAUUUCCCUUGGAAAAUUAAUAAAUUGACCUUCUAGCCUCUGUAUCCUUUGAGUGAGAUGGUUUGAAUAAUGUGAAUGGGUCUCCCAGUGCUUGAUCACCUCCCAUUAAACCAAAGUAACUUAAGUAAUCAAAUUCUAGCUUGUAAACUGAAGAACAGGAAAUGGAUCCUGGCUCUGUGUUAACUUACCAAGACACACAUGUACCACUUGGUUAUGCUGGUUUCUGCUGUCUUCUCUACAGUAAUCAACAAGUCUUUCAAAUAGAGAAGUUUCCAACCAA